rnacentral:rRNA from 1 species
UGAGCAAUCUGCCCUUCUCAUCGGAAUAAGCGUUGGAAACGACGUCUAAUGCCGAAUACGACCUCCUUUCGCAUGAUCGGAGGUGGAAAGCUCCGGCGGAGAAGGAUGAGCUCGCGGCCUAUCAGCUAGUUGGUGUGGGUAACGGCCCACCAAGGCGACGACGGGUAGCCGGCCUGAGAGGGUGACCGGCCACACUGGGACUGAGACACGGCCCAGACCUCCGUACGGGAGGCAGUAGG